rnacentral:misc_RNA from 1 species
GAGGGAUCACAGAUGCUUCUGUUGAACGCCAUUGAGUCUUUCUGUGGUGAGGCUAGACCUGAAGUGGUGAAAGAGGUCCCAUUGGCUGUUAAAGUGUUGUAUGACAAUGACGUGCUGGAAGAGGAGUUCAUCCUAGAAUGGUACCGGAAGGGCCUUGGUGGUGGCAACAAAAGCUCGCCAGUCUGGAAGAAUGUCAAGCCU